CGCGCCGCCUUUUGGAGCUGCCUUAGCCCGCGAACCAGGAGUAGCAACUCACGCGGCGGCUGCCAAUAGAAAAGACGCUCGCCGGCAGCUGAAGGCUGGUCUGGAACUGGGCGAGGAGGUGGGGGAGGACGGGGGAGGCGUCCCCUUUCCCCCCCCCCCGACUUGGCGCCUUCCCAAAUCAUCUGGUGCCCAGGAGCGCUUAACGGCAACGGCGGCGGGGCUUUCUCCUCUCGCUCUCUCCCCUCCUUCCCGGCACCGUCCGGCGACAGCUGAUAGAUAAGAGCAGUUCUUCAUAUGCAAAUGUUUUGAAGAUGUGGCCUUGAUAAUAAAGGGUGGUCUACAGAAUGGCAAAACCAUAUGAAUUUAAUUGGCAGAAGUCAGUGCCUUCCUUUCUACAGGAUGGAGCUAUUUUUGACAGAUACGAAGAGGAAUCUUCUGUUUUUGAGCCAAGCUGCCUGUUUAAAGUUGAUGAAUUUGGCUUUUUUCUAUCAUGGAAAAGUGAAGGAAAGGAAGGGCAAGUUUUAGAAUGUUCCCUGAUCAACAGUAUUCGUUUUGGAGCAAUACCAAAGGAUCCAAAAAUAUUAGCUGCUCUUGAGGCUGUCAGUAAAGCAGAAAAUGAACUUGAAGGGCGAAUAAUUUGUGUCUGUAGUGGCACUGAUCUGGUGAACAUCAACUUCACAUACAUUGUAGCAGAAAGCACUGAAGACGCUAAGCAAUGGGUUGAUGGACUCAGAUCAGUUAUGGGUAACUUCAGAGCCAACAAUGUCUGUCCCACGACAUGCCUCAAGAAACACUGGAUGAAAUUGGCAUUUCUGACUAAUACUAAUGGCAAAAUUCCAGUUAGAAGCAUUACUAGAACGUUUGCGUCAGGUAAAACUGAAAAAGUGAUAUUUCAGGCACUUAAAGAAUUGGGUCUUCCCAGUGGAAAGAAUGAUGAAAUAGAGCCUUCAGCUUUUACUUUUGAGAAGUUUUAUGAACUGACCCAGAAGAUAUGUCCUCGUACUGAUAUAGAGGAGCUUUUUAGAAAAAUCAAUGGAGACAAAACAGAUUAUUUAACGGUAGACCAAUUAGUGAGCUUUCUAAAUGAACAUCAACGAGAUCCUCGGCUGAAUGAAAUUUUAUUUCCGUUCUUUGAUCCUAAAAGAGCAAUGCAGAUAAUUGAAAUAUAUGAACCAGAUGAAGAUUUGAAAAAGAAAGGUGUCAUGUCAAGUGAUGGGUUUUGUCGGUACUUAAUGUCAGAUGAGAAUGCCCCUGUCUUCCUAGACCGUUUAGAGCUGUAUCAAGAAAUGGAACACCCUCUGGCUCACUAUUUUAUUAGCUCUUCCCACAACACAUAUCUCACAGGAAGGCAGUUUGGUGGAAAGUCAUCAGUGGAGAUGUACAGACAAGUCCUCUUGGCUGGAUGCAGGUGUAUUGAACUUGAUUGCUGGGAUGGAAAAGGUGAAGAUCAAGAACCAAUAAUAACACAUGGAAAGGCCAUGUGUACAGAUAUUCUGUUCAAGGAUGUGAUUCAAGCCAUUAAGGAAACAGCCUUUGUAACAUCUGAGUAUCCUGUCAUCUUGUCCUUUGAAAAUCACUGCAGCAAAUACCAACAAUACAAAAUGUCAAAAUACUGCGAAGAUAUUUUUGGAGAUCUUCUCCUAAAGCAGCCACUAGAAACACAUCCACUUGAACCAGGAAGGUCCUUGCCCUCCCCAAAUGAUCUGAGAAAAAAGAUUCUUAUUAAAAACAAAAGGUUGAAACCAGAGGUGGAAAAAAAACAGCUUGAAACUUUGAAAAGUAUGAUGGAAGCUGGUGAAACGGCUGCUCCUGUCAGCAUCUUGGAAGAUGAUAAUGAAGAGGAGAUAGAAAGUGGGGAGCAAGAAGAGGAAGCGCAUCCAGAGUAUAAAUUUGGAAGUGAGCUUUCUGCAGAUGACCUGAGCCAAAAGGAAUCUGUAGCUAAUCACAUUAAAAAGGCUGUGGACGAUUCUGAACAAGAAAACAAUAAAAAGGGUGUGAUAACUGCAGAAGAUGAACAAGCAUGGAUGGCUUCUUAUAAAUAUGUAGGUGCCACAACUAAUAUACACCCGUACUUGUCAACAUUGAUCAACUACGCUCAGCCUGUUAAAUUUCAAGGUUUCAGUGUAGCAGAAGAACGCAACAUUCACUACAACAUGUCCUCUUUUAAUGAGUCUGUCGGGUUGGGCUAUUUGAAGACCCACGCAAUUGAAUUUGUGAACUACAAUAAGCGGCAAAUGAGUCGGAUAUACCCAAAGGGAGGCAGAGUAGAUUCCAGCAAUUACAUGCCUCAAAUUUUCUGGAACGCUGGAUGCCAGAUGGUCUCCCUUAACUAUCAGACCCCAGAUCUAGCAAUGCAGUUGAAUCAGGGGAAAUUUGAGUAUAAUGGGUCUUGUGGUUAUCUUCUUAAACCAGAUUUCAUGCGGCGUCCUGAUCGGACAUUUGACCCUUUUUCUGAGACUCCUGUGGAUGGUGUUAUUGCAGCGACUUGUUCAGUGCAGGUCAUAUCUGGUCAAUUUUUAUCAGACAAAAAAAUUGGUACUUACGUAGAGGUGGAUAUGUAUGGUCUUCCCACUGAUACAAUACGUAAGGAAUUCCGAACACGGAUGGUGAUGAACAAUGGCUUAAAUCCUGUUUACAACGAAGAGUGCUUUGUGUUCCGAAAGGUGAUUCUACCAGAUCUUGCCGUCUUGAGGAUAGCAGUUUAUGAUGACAACAACAGGUUGAUUGGUCAAAGGAUAUUGCCACUGGAUGGGCUUCAGGCAGGCUAUCGACACAUUUCCCUUCGAAAUGAAGGCAACAAGCCAUUGUCUCUGCCAACAGUUUUCUGCAACAUUGUACUUAAAACUUACGUGCCUGAUGGUUUUGGAGAUAUUGUGGAUGCCUUGUCAGAUCCAAAGAAAUUUUUAUCUGUCAUGGAGAAAAGAGCAGACCAGAUGAGAGCUAUGGGAAUUGAAACGAGUGACAUAGCUGAUGUUCCAAAUGACACAUCGAAGAAUGAUAAGAAGGGGAAAACUAAUAAUGCUAAAGCAAAUGUUACUCCUCAGACCAGUUCUGAAGUCAGAUCAAAUCCCAUUUCCAGUACAGGACCUGGUACAGAGAUUAAGAAAGGUAUCGAUCUUAUUCCUCAAAUCAAGAUAGAAGACUUAAAACAGAUGAAGGCAUAUAUAAAGCAUUUGAAAAAACAGCAAAAAGAGCUGACUGCUUUGAAGAAGAGGCAUGCCAAGGAGCACAGCAUCAUGCAGAAGUUACACUGUACACAAGUUGACAAAAUGGUAGCCCAGUAUGACAAAGAGAAGCUAGCUUAUGAGAAACUCCUUGAGAAAGCAAUCAAGAAAAAAGGAGGAAAUAAUUGUCUUGAGAUGAAAAAAGAAACAGAAUGUAAAGUUCAGAUGUUAACGUCUGAUCAUAAAUCAAAGGUGAAGGAAAUUGUGGCGCAGCACACCAAAGAGUGGUCCGAGAUGAUCAACACCCACAGCGCAGAAGAGCAAGAAAUGCGUGAUCUGCACCUUAGCCAGCAGUGUGAACUACUGAAGAAGCUGUUAAUUAAUGUGCAUGAACAGCAGACACAACAACUGAAGCUUUCCCAUGACAGAGAAAGUAAAGAAAUGCGUGCCAACCAAGCAAAAAUUUCAAUGGAAAACAGUAAAGCCAUAAGCCAAGAUAAAUCUAUCAAAAACAAAGCUGAAAGAGAAAGGCGGGUGAGGGAGCUGAAUAGCAGUAAUACAAAGAAGUUUCUGGAAGAAAGAAAACGGUUGGCAAUGAAGCAAUCAAAGGAAAUGGAUCAGUUGAAGAAAGUCCAACUUGAGCAUCUAGAAAUUUUGGAGAAACAAAAUGAGCAGGUAACCAACACCUGGCUGUAAAAGGAAAGAGAAUCUGGGAGCUGUGACCUAUUAUCUGGUUAUUGAUUUAUUUGGGGCAAGGAACUUAUGACUUAUUUGGAUCAUAUGAGUAUCAGACUGGAGACUGCCCUGUGCAUCACUUAUAAUUUAUAGACCAUGCCAAUGUAUGAACCAGUACUAAGAAUGCAAGUCUAUGAAUUCCAAAUAUGCAUUUUUAAGUUUGAUUCUAAAGCAAUAUGUUAUCUGUAGCCUAAAAGUGAAGUUUUGAACUGUGCCUGUGAAGAUGUCAUUUUCUGACCCAAGAAAGAACCCCAGCAGCUGCUUGCUGAAACUAAAAGAGACUUGCUUAUCAUUGGAAGCCAAUCUUGUACAAAGCAGACAUUUAGAUAGAAGUGAAAUUGUAUCCCCACAAUCUUUUUCAAUAUCCUCAUUUGACGUAUGUGAUACUUCCUUAGUAGAAGCAAAGCCAAUCUACAAGAAUCUCCACUGCUGCUUCUAGUAUUGCUACUGUGAUAGACAAAGGAGAAGCAGCCUGGUGCUCUUCAGAUGUUACGGAUUUCAGAGUCACAGCUAAUAUGGACAAUGGCUAGGAAUGAUCAGAAUUUUUGUCUAGAACAUCUGGGACAUGGCAGAUUGCCUACUUAAAUUUAAAUGUAGUUACUGGUAAGUUUUGCUAUAGAAAAGUGGUUUUUGUCAGUUCAGUUAUUGUGAAAACCAUGGUAAGUGAUCAAGGAAAGAUAAAAGAUCAGUUUUAACCUGUUUUGCUGAAUUGUCUAUGGUGCAAAUAAAUUACAUUAAUUUCUUUAAGUUAGGAUAUAAAAACACUGUAGGUUUGUCUAAAAUCAGAAUCUCUAGAAGCUACACUAGGUUCGAUUGAGCAAUAAGUCCUGUUUUCUGUUAUAUUCCAUUAUAAGUAGGGGCGCAGUGAGUGAGCAUCUGCUAGUUUGGCCUAAUGGUUAUGGGUUGGCCUAGCAACAGGGAAACCUGGAUUCUAGUCCUAACUCAGGGACGAAAACUUCUGGUUGGCCUUAGGCCCAUCACUCUCUCAAUUUUAGGAAGAAGGAAAUGGCAAACCUUUUCCAAAAAUAUUGCCUAUAAAACUGCAUAACUGCAUAAAGUUGUUAGGAGUUAACUGGGACUCAAAGAUGAUAUAGCACAGGUGUCAAACUCGAUCGCAUCACGUGAUGUAUCAUGAUGUUUUUUGCCUUUACGGAGCUGGGGUGGGCGUGGCCUGCGCAUGACGCAUCCGGCCCACGAGCCGCCAGUUUGACACUCCUGUGAUAUAGAUAAAUAGAUGGGUAUAAUGCAUUAACUGCUUUUCACAACUUUAUCAUUUCUGCUAUAAUUUUGAAACUUACUUCUCCAUCAUUUCCUUCAUUACUGACACACUCAAAAACUAUUUACUGGUUUGAUUUUUCCCCCCUCUCAUUUAACUCAACUUUAUCAAGCAAAGUAAAAUUAGUGAAUUGCACUAGAAAUCUGUACCUUGAUUAAUUAAUAAUGAAAGAAAGAGAAAUGCAUCACAUUUUUAAUGGGUAUACCUAUUAUCCAUUAAAGAUUUGAUGCGUUUCUCUUUCUUUCAUUUUGAAAACAAGAUGAAACUAGAGAAAGCCAGACCCAGACUAGAGUAGACUAGACUAGAAGAAAAUAAGUCUUUUUCUUGCAUUUAUGUUGUUGUCAUCUCACUUUUCAUUCAGUUUAUUUGCUUCAUUGUGUUGCUGAAUUUUGACGUUAUUAUUUUUAUACAAACAGCUUUUGAAAUCCUGCCAUGCAGUCUCUCAAAUUCAAGGCCAAGGAGAUGCAGCAGAUGGUGAAGCUAGAGGCAGAGAUGGACCGCAGGCCUGCAACAGUGGUAUAAAGCUCCAAUGCACAAACUGAAGUCUGAGGCCAUCUGAUAUAUAUAUAUAUAUAUAGAGAGAGAGAGAGAGAGAGAUUGUCUUUGCAAUGAUACUAAACUGAAGUUUGGAAGAUGGGAUCUUUUCUGCUUGGGGUCAUGUAGCAAAUCUCUGCUGAAGAGCUUGGAUUUUGGGGGGGAGGGGGAGGGGAGAAAUACUGUACUUUAUUUUUCCAAAUAAGACUUUCCUUCUCAGAAGAAAGCGUAUGAUUUUAAAAUCCAAGAGUACUGCCCUUAACACGAUGGCAGUCUUUAUUUGAAUUAUAAACGCAACACUUAUUUUUGUCCUUGAAAAGGUUUAGUCGUGUUUGACUCGCCUUCGUAUUUUAUAUUACUUUUUGCCUGGGCUUCCUUGACUUUGGAAAGACCACUAACUCUCCUAUAAUUUCCCAGAAUCAAUCUGCCUCCUGAAACAAGAACCGCUGAAGAAUAUUUCAUAAGAUUUCCCCUGCCCUCCAAAAGAAAACUACCUUGUAAUACAUUUGAUAGCAUCAGUGACUAUCUUUCUAUGAAAUUUCGAUUUUGCCAUGAGGACUGCUUGGACUAAAAUGUUACCAAAUGAAGUAUUGCAAUGUAGAGUCCAUCUUUUCCAGAAGUUGUUUCUCCAUUCUGUUCCAUUCCUCUAGUUCUUCAUGUUUUCCUUCCAAUGAUGGGUCUGCAUUAUAUGGACAUUUGUUAUGCCCAGUCCUAAUAGGGUUGUUUUAGAGGAUAUCCUAUCUCUUUGUCUGUAUCUGUGGAUUAUUUUUUCCUCCAAAAAUAUUUUAUACUCUAUAAACCUUGACAAUGUAUAAUGCCAUUUUGGCUGCAUAGAAACAGGCUCCGUAGAGAUAUAACGUAUAUCAGAAUACAGUAUUGGGAAACUCUCACCUAUAAACUUUGUAGACUAGAUAAACGUUCAUUAUUGAAGCUGGGCGAGUUAUUUCUGUGUUCAGAAUGUCAUCAUCAGCAAGUGCCAUGCUGGACUGGAUACGUCUGAAUUUUAAAUGGUAUUUUUUGUAAAAUCCUGUUGAAAGGAUUGCAAGGUAGCAAAAGACUGUUCCUGUGCCAUAUUGAGUUAUGAUGCUGUAGUUAAAUAAAAAUAUGAAGGAAUUGUAUUUUAGGCAUUCUAACCAGAGUUUACAGACUACCUAAAGGUUGCAUUUCAAUUAACUUGUCACCAAUCCCAAAUACUACUGUUUUUGUGUUCUAAAAUUUAAAUAGAUUUUGGGGGGAGGGUGUUCUGUGAUAAUGUAAAGUAUUUAUACAGAUUCAGUCACAAUCUUGUGGAAAAAUCACAUUCCUGUAGCAACAUUAGCAGUAGUGAACAAAACCUCUGCUUGCAUGUGUUAACAAACACCAGUUCUGACCAGUUGAAUAUUGUAUGGCCACCCAGUCAUUCUCUUACUGGUAAAUAAAUACAGAAACAAUGUAUAAAACAGAAUAUUUGACUAACAAAAUAUCAGUAUAAAUUACACACACACAUACACACACACACACACACACACACACACGGAUAUAUAUAUAUAUAUAUAUAUAUAUUUGUGUAUAUGAAGUAUGUGGGCAUUCUUACAGGUCAAGUUGAAAAAAUUAUGUUAAUUUAAUUUUACACACUAUAUUUAUGCAGAUUUUCAGACUUUCAUAUGAGGAAAUUAUCCUUUUUAUGUCUAUUAGAUAGCCAAAUAAUUUGCCACAGUAUUAAUGUGCACGUUCUCAAAGCCCACUGUAGUUACAAUGCAGAACAGUGCACGUCAACCUUCUGCUUGGAAGUCUCCAUGUUACCAACAUAAGCAAGACUACGGGAAACGGGUAGUUUAGAACAAAAUCAGAUAACCGAUUUCAGUAAUAGUACUGAUCAUGUUGUUGUAUAUGCGUGUACAAACUGAUUCAAAAUAUUCCUAAAAAUGACAUAUGGAGAUAAUUAUGUAAUUGUUCUGAGAUACAACUUUCAGAUUCUCUAAUAAAAACCCCUGACACAAAGUUA